UUUUUCUAUCGUUUCUCACGCAACACAAUGAACACAUCCACUUGGGACAUGAGUUCUUCGUCGUCUUCAUCUGGCGACGAUGAACUCAUACUUGCAGCAUUCGCCGAGCGCGAGGAGGAAGAGAGGAAGAACGCUCGACGCCAUGGCGGUUCCAAGCAUGGACGUCAGUCAAUCGAUCGAGGAAGAGAUGCUGGAUUUCUUCUUCUGUGGGACGACUACUUCAAAGAAGUUCCUCGCUUUCCCGAACAUUUGUUUCGACGAAGGUUCGUAAUUAGUACACUUCUCUGCUUUGGUCCUUUUUUCAUUUCCCUGUCUCAUUUAAUUUUUAUGCACAGAUUUAGGAUGUCGCGUACUUUGUUCAACCGCAUAGCUGAUGGUAUACUUGGGCAUGACUAUGAUGAUUAUUUUACGCAAAAAAGAAGUGCUUCUGGAGCUCUUGGGUUACAUCCUUUGCAAAAGAUGACCGCGGCGAUGCGGAUACUAACAUAUGGAAUAGCAGCUGAUUAUGUUGAUGAGUACAUCCGGUCCGUU
rnacentral:rRNA from 1 species